UAGGGAAUUUUCGGCAAUGGACGAAAGUCUGACCGAGCAAUGCCGCGUGAACGAUGAAGGUCUUCGGAUUGUAAAGUUCUGUUGUUAGGGAAGAAUAGUAUAACUAGGAAAUGAGUUAUAUUUGACGGUACCUUACUAGAAAGCUCCGGCUAACUAUGUGCCAGCAGCCGCGGUAAUACAUAGGGAGCAAGCGUUAUCCGGAAUUAUUGGGCGUAAAGAGUGCGUAGGUGGUUUAUUAAGUCUGGUGUGAAAUUUCACGGCUUAACUGUGAAGGGUCAUUGGAAACUGGUAAACUUGAGUACGGUAGAGGUGAGUGGAAUUCCAAGUGGAGCGGUGGAAUGCGUAGAUAUUUGGAGGAACACCAAUGGCGAAGGCAGCUCACUGGGCCGGAACUGACACUGAUGCACGAAAGCGUGGGGAGCAAACAGG
rnacentral:rRNA from 1 species